GUUUUUAGCGCUUUUUUAAACCACCGAGUCGUAAACACGCCAAACUUCAGCGUCCGCGAAGGAGAUACAUUCACUUCUUUUGAUUCUCUCAUACUUGGAUUCAGUUCUCCCAGACAAACGGACAUCAACUGAAAGUUUCCCCUCAGGGAUGAGACCUGGUAUGGCCAUUGCUCAUAGCGCAGCAGGAGUACUCUAAAACCAAGGCAAAAGCGGAAAAGCAUUACUACAAAAGAUACAAGCCCACCACUUUGUUCUUCACGAUAAUUUGAUUGUGGCUUGAAA